GACGAACGCUGGCGGCGUGCCUAAUACAUGCAAGUAGAACGCUGAAGAGAGGAGCUUGCUCUUCUUGGAUGAGUUGCGAACGGGUGAGUAACGCGUAGGUAACCUGCCUGGUAGCGGGGGAUAACUAUUGGAAACGAUAGCUAAUACCGCAUAAAAUGGAUUAUCGCAUGAUAAUCCAUUGAAAGGUGCAAAUGCAUCACUACCAGAUGGACCUGCGUUGUAUUAGCUAGUUGGUGGGGUAACGGCUCACCAAGGCGACGAUACAUAGCCGACCUGAGAGGGUGAUCGGCCACACUGGGACUGAGACACGGCCCAGACUCCUACGGGAGGCAGCAGUAGGGAAUCUUCGGCAAUAGACGGAAGUCUGACCGAGCAACGCCGCGGGAGUGAAGAAGGUUUUCGGAUCGUAAAGCUCUGUUGUAAGAGAAGAACGAGUGUGAGAGUGGAAAGUUCACACUGUGACGGUAUCUUACCAGAAAGGGACGGCUAACUACGUG
rnacentral:rRNA from 1 species